rnacentral:rRNA from 1 species
CGAUUAACCAAAGGGUUAGGUCCUAGCCUUGAGUCAGUUAUUACUUAAUAUACACAUGCAAGUAUCCGCCCCCCUGUGAAAACGCCCUUUAAUCCCCUCUAGGGACAAGGAGCUGGUAUCAGGCACGAAAAUCUGCCCAAGACACCUAGCUAUGCCACACCCACAAGGGAAUUCAGCAGUGAUUAACAUUGAGCAUUAGCGCAAGCUUGACUCAGUUAAAGUAAGAUAGAGCCGGCUAAUCUGGUGCCAGCCGCCGCGGUUACACCAUGUGGCUCAAAUUGACCCCUUCCGGCGUAAAGCGUGAUUAAAGUUAUCUAUUAAUAGAGUUAAACUGAAACUAAGCUGUGACACGCCUGUUUAUCAAGAAACCCAAAAACGAAAGUUACUCUAACUUAAUCAACUUGACUUCACGACAGCUGGAAAACAAACUGGGAUUAGAUACCCCACUAUAAA